rfam:Myotis lucifugus cont2.36983, whole genome shotgun sequence.
CCAAAGGCUCUUUUAAGAGCCACCCAAGUAAUAUUAAAAUAGCAU